rnacentral:rRNA from 1 species
AGCAGCCGCGGUAAUUCCAGCUCCAAUAGCGUAUAUUAAAGUUGUUGCAGUUAAAAGCUCGUAGUUGAAUUUCGGAAUCAGUACGCUGGUCGUGCCUUAGGUAUGCACUGGUGUCACUGGUUUCUCCCUUCUGACGAACCGACAUGCCAUUCACUUGGUGUGGCGGGAAAUCAGGACUGUUACUUUGAAAAAUUAGAGUGUUUAAAGCAGGCUCACGCUUGAAUACAUUAGCAUGGAAUAAUGAAAUAGGACGUUGAUCUUAUUUUGUUGGUUUCUAGGAUUGACAUAAUGAUUAAUAGGGAUAGUUGGGGGCAUUAGUAUUCAAUUGUCAGAGGUGAAAUUCUUGGAUUUAUUGAAGACUAACUACUGCGAAAGCAUUUGCCAA